UGCCUCAAGAUUAAUAAAGAGUAUUAUUAUUAUUAUGUCUUGUGUGUCUCUACUUUACUUUUGUGCAAGAAAGCAGAAAACAAGUAUGGGGGAGAUCCCUCGACAUGCUAAACACACUCCGACUACACCACUCCACGAUUCAGGUACACACUCUGCACACUUUACUUUACACAUACAUAUAUUUUGGAUUAUGCAGAAUAUUGUUUCCGACAUGAUAAAAUAAAAAGAUUAAAAUAUUUCUAAUCAUGAUUAAUCUCAAUCUAUGAUAUUUCCUGAAAACUUGCAAUUAUUAUAGAAUCAUUUUAAAACCCUAUGUUACUUAAGUCAAUAUGGAAUAUGUGAUGGUAGAGUAUGAGUUUCUUAUUCUUGAUAUCAUUGUUACUUGGAGAAUUUAUUUCAAAAUUCAAAAUUCUAGCUACCAUCCUCAGUGUUUUAUAUGCCUGAUAAAACUGAAAAUAUUAAUUAUGAUUAUAAAAGUUAUCUCCUCUAUAUUGAGUUUGUUCAAAAUGAGUUAGACCCUUGUUGAGAGAUUUAUCAUGCUCCUAAGAUCAAGACAUUUAUUCAGAAAGAUUCACUCUUCCGAAGUAAUAUUGCAUUAGAGGCAUGGGCUAUGCAAAAAUAGAGAUAUUUCGAGGAAAUAAAAAGGAGCAAGUGCUCGACAACCUCGCAGAAAAAAAUGGACAAGUGUCCGGCAGUAGAAUUAGGGGUACCUCGGUAUCCACUUAAAAAAAAGAAGAGAAAAAAUGAUAGCCCAUGGUCCCUCUAAUAAGCAAUAUGCCAGCAAGAGUUGACAAAGAUUUUAAUUUCCGAAGUCUUUGAUCUAAGAGUAUGACAUUCCCCUCCUCGGAUCCCGUUUUGAUCAGGCAAUAAAUGCAGAGUAAGUAUGCUUGAGAAUUUUUGCAAAUUAAAACAACCUCAGUGAGAUAUAUAAAAGAUAAUGAGUGAUCUGAGAGAACC
rnacentral:lncRNA from 1 species